rnacentral:misc_RNA from 1 species
GCAAACUUGGUCAUUUAGAGGAAGUAAAAGUCGUAACAAGGUUUCCGUAGGUAUGUUGUAACCUCCUCGCCCCUCCAUUACCCUUCUCUGUACUAACGUUCUUUUUAGGUGAACCUGCGGAAGGAUCAUUACCGAGUUAGGGUCUCACAGGCCCGAUCUCCCAACCCUUGUGUUUAACUAAACCACGUUGCUUCGGCGGGCCCGUCUUCGGACCGCCGGGUGGUCUUGGACCGCCUGGCCCGUUGCCCGUCGAGAGCCCCAACCUCAAAACUCUUGUUGAAAAUGUGCCGUCUGAGUAUAAACAAGCAAAAUUAAUUUAAAACUUUCAACAACGGAUCUCUUGGUUCUGGCAUCGAUGAAGAACGCAGC